rnacentral:rRNA from 1 species
ACGAGAAAGCGGGGGCAACCCCGUGAGUAAAGUGGCGACCGGGUGAGUAACACGUGGGCAACCUACCCCUCUGUCCGGGAUAACCCACCGAAAGGUGGGCUAAUACCAGAUGACGUCCCUGCGGGGCAUCCUGUGGGGACCAAAGGGGGCGAGCGCAAGCGGCUCUCGCGGAGGGAUGGGCCUGCGGCUGAUUAGCUAGUUGGCGGGGUAACGGCCCACCAAGGCUCUGAUCAGUAGCCGACCUGAGAGGGUGACCGGCCACACUGGGACUGAGACACGGCCCAGACUCCUACGGGAGGCAGCAGUGGGGAAUCUUGCGCAAUGGGCGAAAGCCUGACGCAGCGACGCCGCGUGGGCGAUGAAGGCCUUCGGG